GUAGGUGGCAAGCGUUGUCCGGAAUUAUUGGGGCGUAAAGCGCGCGCAGGCGGUUCUUUAAGUCUGGUGUGAAAGCCCACGGGCUCAACCGUGGAGGGUCAUUGGAAACUGGAGAACUUGAGUACAGAAGAGGAAAGCGGAAUUCCACGUGUAGCGGUGAAAUGCGUAGAGAUGUGGAGGAACACCAGUGGCGAAGGCGGCUUUCUGGUCUGUAACUGACGCUGAGGCGCGAAAGCGUGGGGAGCAAACAGGAUUAGAUACCCUGGUAGUCCACGCCGUAAACGAUGAGUGCUAAGUGUUAGGGGGUUUCCGCCCCUUAGUGCUGCAGCUAACGCAUUAAGCACUCCGCCUGGGGAGUACGGCCGCAAAGGCUG
rnacentral:rRNA from 1 species